rnacentral:rRNA from 1 species
UACGUAGGUGGCGAGCGUUGUCCGGAUUUACUGGGCGUAAAGAGCGCGCAGGCGGUCGUGCAAGUCGCGUGUGAAAGCCCCCGGCUCAACUGGGGAGGGUCACGCGAUACUGCUCGACUUGAAGGCAGGAGAGGGAAGUGGAAUUCCACGUGUAGCAGUGAAAUGCGUAGAUAUCGUAAGGAAGACCAGUGGCGAAGGCGGGUCUCUGGACAGUUCCUGACGCUGAGGCACGAAGGCCAGGGGAGCAAACGGG